GUUUUGAUAACAGCCAUGGUGAUGUGUCAGGCUGGCAGAUCGCCAGAGCUGCUGUUGCUGUGCUGCUGUUCUGGACAGGCUGGAACUCCAGCAUGAACUCAAGUGGAAGGGCCUGUGAUCUGUGGGUGAGUCUAUGUGGGAGCUGGACACCCUGAGGCAUCUGUGGCCUUGGAUAAGCCCAUGCCAGAGCAGGUGCAUCUCACAGCAUCUGUGGCUGUGUACCACAGCAGCUGGACCUCUGAAGGGGGAUUGUGGCCCAAGGGAUUAUGUUUUUUGACUUCCUGGCAAAUUUUCUCCUGGAGUAAACCUGAAAAAAGUUAGAAAUUCAAGAAAAUCAGCCCAAUUCCAACCUUUGCUGUUCAGUGUUAUUUCAGAUAUAUGAAAUUAAAUGGGGGAUGGUUGCUGGAGAGAGAGCUUCUGAGAAGCCUGGAAUGAGCUCAGGCAUUUGAAAUGUUUGGGGAUAUUCUGAAAAACUCCUGCCACUGGGCCAGUCCUUUUCCUUCGAUGAGUAAGCAGACUCUUCUGACUGCAUUUAUUUAGUAUGUGCUGAGCUAGGUCAACGAAUGGCCUGCUUGAAGAUCCCAGGCAAGGAGUUUCCAGCAGACACUGGCAACUGCCCUCCUCAACUGGGGUCUAAUUUCCAACAGGAGCAAAGCCAAGCUCAACAAUGAAGUUAAAAGUCAAACCAUGAAUAAACUGACUUCCUUACAUUGUAAAUACAUCAGAAAAGGGCAGCAGUUCAAAAGGGAAAAUGAGCAAAACUCUGAUUAUUUUCCUUGAAACUGAGUCCCAGGGGGUGAUUGUCCAUUGAGAUGCCCCCAGGAGAGUGGUGCUGCGCCAAGAAGCAAGAGAGUUACGGUAGGACAUGGCCAAGAAGCCUCCAAAGUAUUGCACAACAGGAAUUUGGGUACAGCGUAACAAUCGGCUGAGGAAUGGGAAAACGGUUCUCAAAAACCUUAUUCCUGAGCUAAGCCAGAUUCUCAGGCCAUCUUGAAGCUUAAUUUUGAUUCUUCAGCUGCGUUGGGUGGGGGUGGUUUUUCACCGAUGCGUAUGUGGUAACACACAUUGGAUGCGGAUCAAGUCAUCAUGAGAAAGUAGCUACAGGCCAAAAAAAAAGGUCAUAAUGCUCCAAUUUAUAGUCUUGUAGUUUAGGUGGACUGAGAGCUCUGUUAAGGUUCUCCCCCUUUGGAGCUCUAAAGGCACUGUAAAAUGACGAGAGGUUUUGAUCUGGCAAGUGCAAGCUCAGGACAAAUCCACCUUAAUCUUGGAAGUAACAAAAGGGCGGCAAAUAAAACUGUUCAGCCUUUAAAACCAAAAUUGAAAAGAACAAACCUCUAUGGCCUACAGAAUGGAAAGCAGAGGAAGUUGUUCAUCAGGGAGUACUGGAAGCAAUGGAGAUGAGUUUAUUUAUGGAUUGUGUAAAUUACUGUUAUCUGCUUUCCAGUCCAACAUACACUCGGGAUCUCUAGGAUUUGGAAGCUGGGUAUCUGUGCCAAGGUUUCAGAUCUCUCCCCCCACCCCUGCAAAAAAAAUUUAUUGUUUAAAGAAUCUACCUGCAUUAUUAUACUCUCUGUGAAGGCUGCAGUAAAUGGCCACUCUUCUUUCCAUUAGUUUUAUUACUGAGAACCUCCCUGUUCUGCCUCUUUGCUCCUGCUUUAAUUGAAGCUCUGCUAGCAGAUAGCCAUCAGAAAAGACAUCUGCAAUUCAAUUAGAUCUGUGCUUAAACUCAUAAUCUCUGUGAAACCGGCCUCUGCCAGAACAGAGUGUCCUCCAUGGGCUCACUGGGCCUGCAGCCUGCAGUGCUUUGCAGUUUGUCCUCCCUCCUGCCCUGCUAGCCCCGCUUACAAGUGCUUAAAAUGAAGACCCAUUCCCCACAGGAGGCUUGUAGGAGCUGAUUUCCUCUUCCUCGCAAAGCCAGAGAGAAGCUGGAAACUUGGCACCACUGAGAGGCCAUGAAACCAGCUUUGUAAUGAACUGAAAGUGGUUGCUGCAGAGUAGAAUCUUUCUGCCAUGGGAGGUAGGAUGUUAAGGAGUUUCAAAGGUGAUCCAGGGGUAAUUUAUUGCAUCUUUUGCACAGACAUGAAAGCAUGAUGAAUUUAUAGGAAUGUCCAUACCAAAAGAAAUUGGACUGUUUCACUGUUUUAAUUCAGUCUCUGAUGCUGUAAGUGGCCCAUUUCCGUAGUGCCAGCUGCUCUAGGGCCACCAUUCCUGCUUGCAGUGACCCUAUGAGGUGACUGAGGUGAGGACCAAACAUCUGGACAGGCCAGACCACUGAACCCGCGCAAGGAACAGCUCUUUGGAAAUAUUUCCAUGACCCUAGAUGUAAAUGUGGUCUCUAAGUGGUGUCAGGCUGGUCCCUGACACAAACCACAACCUUGUUUACAAGUGCUCCAGAAGGAUGUUACAAAGUGCUUCAGUGGUCUUACUUAAAGCAUUUGUAAAAACUGAUUACAAUGGCUUGCAAAAUCAAAAGUGAAAGAAGCCGCCAGAAGGGGGGUUUGUGUGGGCUUCUUUGUGGAAAAGAUGCAGUUGAUGAAAACCCUGGAUCUGAGGAGAAAUGAAAAGUGAAGGUGAGUGUGGAGAGUGGAUUUGAUUUGCAGCACACUGCAAACUCCCUUGCCUUCAGGGAGAAGUGACCCCCAGUUGAUAGAGGGGAAAACUGAAUACUUACCUGGGAUGCGAGAAAAUCGAAUGGGGAUCAGAGCAAUGCAGGUGAGUGUAGCAGAUGGGUUGGAGUGCUGUACCUGUCUGUGCCCCUGAGUACAGGGUUUAGCAAAGCCUUGGUGAGAAGCCUGCAGCCAUGGGCUUUCUCCAUCUGCCUUUCACAAUAUUGUUUUUACUGUAUUUUUAAUAAAUGAAGUGAAAUCUUACAGGAGAAGGAAAGUCUAGCAGGGGUCCCUAUCUGUUUUAAAGAGUUGACCGUGAGGAGGUUUGGGGCUGCUUUUCUACUGGAGCAUCCUCAAGGCCUGCAGUGUUUUUCUUGCUCCUGGACAAUCUGGGUUUUGGCAGAACACAUGUAUGUGCCCAGACCCCCCUGGCCAUCCAUGCUGAGCCCGUUGGCUCAAGAGGUGGAAGGCCUGUAAGACAGGUGGCACGGGAGCUUCCAGCUGGCCACUGCCCACCCACCCUUCCCUCGUGAGGGUUGUGCCCCCAGCUAGUGGGUGAGGCACAUGGAACUAGGAGAGGGCUGCACCUCUGCACCCUUUAGCCCAGGGGAAAACACUUCCUCUUUCCAUGGAUUUUCUUAUUUCAUCUCAGCAUUGCUGCUCAUGGGCACUCUGGAGGUAAAAUUAACUUGUACCACAGUUCUCUUUACAUUUCACCACCCUGCUUCAGUGGCAAGCACCCCCUUAUUUUAAAAAGUUUCCUUUUGGGGAUGUGAAAGUACAGGUAUCAGUUGUUAGUAAUUUAGAGAGGAAAGAAUUCUUGUAUCAAUGCUAAAAAACCUAAUGUAAAUAUAAAACACUCUGUAGAAGGCAACAGCAGUUCUGCACACAGUGAUGUACAUCCCAGGGGGAAGAAAGAAUCCAUCCAGCAAAGCCUGGCAUUUCAUUGCUGAUCCAGCUCCUGGAAGACCAGCCAAGCUAGGGAAAGGUUGAAAUGAAAACACAUGCACCCUUUUGAGAUGUUGUAUAUGAAAACUCUCAGACGUUAAUUUUCCUUUUAGAAAGAGAGAAAAGAAAGGCAACCUUUAUUUUUGGUCUAAAUUUUCACAAAACACCAUUUCUAUAUAUACUUAACAUCAGUUAAGUUUGCCAGUGAGGCUACUUGGCAACAUCAGUACAGAGAAAGGAUAUAUCACCUAUCAUCUGUGAUAGGGUGAUAAGAAAGGAUAAACCUUCAGUAUUGCUAAUUUCUGAUGACCUUAUCGUAAUGCCAGAUAGAUUUGAUGUUCCCAUUAAAAUGCGAGCUCCUGAAAUAAUGCUGCUCCUGUGAGACUUGUACCAUCUAUUAAGAAUGAGUCAGCCUUGGGUUUCUGGGUAAAAGAGCUGAAAAUAUCAACGAGCUGCAAUAUACCAAGCUAGAAAUCAGAAAAGAAAUAAGAGAAAAAAAAAUCCGAAAUUGCUUUUUAAGAUUAAAUGACAUAUUUGGCCUGAAAUUUUGGAUAGUUUGACAACUCUGAAAUCAUUUUGCAGCAAACCUGUGUUGUGACAGUGACACAAUCUGCCUUUGGUGUCAUGGUGCCCUGAUCCUGCAACAAGUUAAUUAAAGAUUUGGGGUUAAACAAA